GCCGGAUGUGGUGGCAUGCAUCUGUAGUCCCAGCUACUUGGGAUGCUGAGGUGGGAGGAUCACUUGAACCCAGGAGUUCGAGGCUGCAGUGAUUUAUGAUAGAGCCACUGCACUCCAGCCUGGGCAACAGAGUGAGACCCCAUCUCUU
ensembl:misc_RNA Metazoa_SRP Metazoan signal recognition particle RNA